rnacentral:rRNA from 1 species
AUGGCGCCACCACCACCACCACCACCACUGAAGAAUCCUAGCCUGUCCACUCGCCACCUCAUCUUGCUUCUCCUUCUGUCCACCGCCACCUUCUCCGCCGCUGUUUCCACCCGCUCCUACUCCUCCAUCUGCCCCACUCCGGCACCCGCUCCGGACCGCCACACCGACGCCGACGACGCCCUUUCGCUCGCCCGCUCCUUCCAGAUAUACGACGGCUACUUCUCCGGCGGCGAGGGCAGCCUCUUCUCCCCCGACGAUCACCUCCACGGCAGCUACCGCUCAUUUUCCCUGUUCCCCGACCGCGCCGUCCGCACCACCGACCCGGCUCUCCUCCACCUCACCGCCACCCUCACCCUCGCCGGCCCCCGCUUCGGAGAGUACCACCGGAGCCAUGGAAACCGCGGUAAUUACACCAUCCCCGCGUAUAUCUCUUUCGUCCUCGACGGUUACUACUCCUCCGCCUCUCUCCAGCUCUGCAUGGUCGGGACGGGCACUGAACCCGCCGCCGACGGAUCUGUGAAGCAGUACGCGGACGUCGCCCUCCACCUCCGCGUCCCCAGUCCUCCCAGCCUCGCCGAUCCCUUCGUGGACGGCAGUUUAGAUGGCUCCUCCGGCUUCGGGGCCAUCCAGCUGCUCGCGUACGCCGAAGGCGACGACUACGAGUACGGCGAGCGCCCCACCUGCAGCCCACCGGUGCGGCCGGCCAGGGGCUCGCCCCAGGAGCUCGACGGCGGCAGCUUCGUGUGCGACGACCUGAAAGAGCGGCUCGUGACCUCGUACAGGUUGCAGGAUCAGCACGGCGGCUCCCCGGCCAAGCUUCCGCGGAUGCACGUCAACAGGAUGAAGUGCACGCCGGACGGCGCCGUGCGCGCGUACGUGGUGUUCUCCAACGACACCGGGGACGAGGGGCGUCGGCUUGAAUUCCUGGUGGACGAGGAGGCGGUCGUGGCCGACGGGCACUGGGACUCGGCUCGGGACAUGCUCUGCCUCAGAGCAUGCCGGGUGUCGCGCUCCGUGCCAACGCCGUCAACUCUGGCGGUGCGGGAGUGCGGGAUCGAGCUGAGCUUCUGGCUCCCGGCCGAGUGGACGAUCCUCGAGCGGAGCGUCGUGGCCGGCGCGCUCCGGAACCCGGCUCAUGGGAGGACCGACGUGAUGUCGGCCUUCAGCAUCCACGACCGCAGAAGAAACCUCUCGGACGUGAGGUACAGCUACAACGACACGAUGCUUGAUGUGGCCAAGAAGCAUUAUCUGAAGAUCAACAAGGAGAAGAUCAGAGGAUCGUUCCCGGUCCCGAGCAACUCUGCUUACCAUGACUUCAGGCUCCAUUUCUUCGUGGCAAACACGGGGAGGCGGGGAGAAGCUUACCCGGUCGCGAUUGGUUCGGUGAUUGUAAACGAGGAUGGGUUGUCCGCCGACGAUUCCCUCCCCGGAUCUGCGGUGGGUGACACGGAGCACGAUCUACUGAGAAUCAGCUACGAUCUACACUGUGAUGCUGCAGCAGACAAUUGGGUCCGUCCAACUAAGAAUAUGUCCUACUCCUACAGGCCGGAGGAAGAACGGCGAAUCUCGAUCUCAGCAGAGGGUGUGUAUGAUCCCAAGAGGGGCAUCCUGAGCAUGGCUGGCUGUCAACGGCGCAACGGCUCGACGGACUGCCAGAUACUGGUCACCGUGCAGUUCGCCUCCCUCGACCUCGAGGGGCUCGGGGGCGGCGGAGCGAUCAGCAGCCUCAGAGACAGGUCCGACCGUCUCUUCUUCGAGACGAUGAACAUCACCUUGUACGGGAUGUACACAGAGCAACUGUCGGAGGCGGUAUCGAGGAUGGACAUGGAGAGCAUCAUGCUCGUGGCCUCCACGAUGCUGUCGUGCAUCUUCGCCGCCCUGCAGAUCCUGCACGCCAAGAAGAACCCCGAGGCCGCUGCGGCGACGUCGAUCACCAUGCUCGCCGUCCUCGCCCUGGGGCACCUUGCCCCUCUGGUGCUCAGCUUCGAGGUCAUCUUCAUGAGCAGGAGGAGCCAGUACUUUCUUGACUCGACGAGCGGCUGGCUCGAGCUGAAUCAGGUGAUGAUGAGUGUGCCUGCGCUGGUCGCCUUCGUGCUGCAUCUGCGCCUUCUUCACCUGGCGCUGGCUGGUCGGCUGAGACCGGCCGCCGGCCAGAGCGAGCCCGCAACGACGUCCGUCUCGGAGAGGGCUGUGCUGAAGGUGUGCCUGCCGCUGUACCUGCUGGGAGGAGUCAUGGCCGCGGCCGUCCACGCGAUCAACAUCCGCACCUCAAGGGAGGGCCACAUCGGUGGAGAGGCGGCCAUGCCGUGGGACGACGUCGUGUGGUACGCGGGGCUGAUGCUGGACGGCUUCCUGCUCCCUCAGGUCAUCCUGAACGAGUCCUUGUCAGGCUCCAAAGUCCGAGCGAUUUCGCGGUGGUUUUACAUGGGUGGCACCCUGAUCCGCGUGGCGCCUCACGUGUAUGAUGUGGUCAGGAGGCGGGUCUACGUGCCGAGUAUGAGCCCCUCUGACAUAUACGCGAGCCCUCGCGGCGAUCUCUUUGGCGUCGCGUGGGAUGUGGUUAUAUUGUGCGGAGCGGCGUUGCUGGCGUCCCUCUUGUUCUUCCAGCAACGGCUUGGAGCCGGCGCCUCGCUUCCUUGGCAGAGGAAGAGAUCAGGUGGGUAUGAGAUGGUCUCUCGCAUCUAA